CUAUGGCUCAGUGCGGCUCCGGCUGUGCGCGGCGGCGCAGCGCGUCGAGCUCCGCGGCUUCAGGUCACAGCUUCAUCAUUGCGCCGGACCACAAGGACGAAAGCGGCUACUUUGCUGCUCAUCGGAACUAAUCCCACCGAUCUAUCGCCUUGAUUGGACAGGAUUUACUCCAGGAUUCUUUUGGAGACUUUAACGCGAUUAAACGCUAUUUUCUUUUACAGCCGUGGCACCACUGGAGGAGUUCAUGUUGUUACAAACGUCGGGUGAAACUUUGUGAUGGAUUCAACGCGCCGGGCUGUGCAUCGACCUGUGGGAUAUGAGGAAAUACUGUCUCCGACACGGGAUGAACAGUGUCCAUUUGUCCCUCUGCGCUACAAGCAGCUGGUCGGACAGGAGCGUCUCUUGCGAUGCGCGCGGCCAGUGUCACAAAUAAUCCACACCAUGAUGCGGUUUUUGGAGAUCGAUAUUCGUUGAGCUGGAUUUUGGCAACUGGGGAAAAAGGAAUAUUCCGGAAUAUAAUUUGAAAGUGCUCAACAGAUGACCAGCAGUUCGGGCGGUGACUUGGCGCAUCCCUUCAUCCAGCAGUGAAGGAAUCCCAUUUCAUGGAAUGAGAGGCCAAUCUUUAAUUGCUUUCCAGGGAAUUUCUGAUGAUCUCAGGUGAGCGCAGAAAACAGCCUGACUAAUGGAAACAUGAUCUCAAGAGAUUCCUUCAGGAUCAUACUUAAUCCUGGUUUGGACUGUGGACAUAGCAUCGCCUGCAGCAGAUGUUUGCUCCUGGCAUGGCUGCAAACUGCAUGAGCUCCAUCACCGACAAUCCAGUUCUCGGGAUGCAUCGCCAGCAGCUUGGACACGGAGAAGCUGUGACACAAACUCAGCAGGACAGUGGAGUGUAUUCUGCUGCUCGGAUAUUAUGGAACAGACCGGUCAACCUCGUCUGGAGAGGCACUCGAUAGGAAAAUCAGCUCUAUGAGGCUACGAUUACCGCGGUUACCACAAUGGAUCUACACAUUGUUUGACUUUUUCUAAAUUGAACCUGGAUUAAUAUUUCCCUGUAUAUACAUCUGCUUUUGAUAUUCAGUGUUUAUUCCCGCUGUUGCUCAUUCCCUGCACUUAUAUACUGUGUUAUUCUGGAUACAGUAUCAACAAAUGCUGGAACAGUAAACGGAAAAUAAUCAGCUGUUAUUUCCUCUUUAGGUCUAUUAUUUUUACAGGAGGAAGGCAGCACUUACACCAAUCUCGUAAGGAGCAAACUAAAUGUUUUCCUGUUGAAUUAAUUAACACACAUAGGAAUUGUCACAGGGAUUACUCAAUUAAUAAACAUUCAACAUCUUCCAAUUAAGAAAAGAUAAUCCUUUAUUAGUCCAGCAGCAGGGAAAUUACAACAAUUGCCUUCACAAUGAAGCCAUUGAACCAAAGGUGCUUAUGAAUACAACUAUUGACAACUCUUUGGGAGUCUUGUUCAUUCUGGUUGAGGAAUCUUUUCCAACUCUUUGAUCUGAUAAAGACGUAUUGCUUCAUCGGACUUGUCUGUGUAACCCUCGAACAGAAAUAAAAAAGAAAAGGUGUAAUCAA